rnacentral:rRNA from 1 species
GAUGAACGCUGGCGGCGUGCCUAAUACAUGCAAGUCGAGCGAACAGACGAGGAGCUUGCUCCUCUGACGUUAGCGGCGGACGGGUGAGUAACACGUGGAUAACCUACCUAUAAGACUGGGAUAACUUCGGGAAACCGGAGCUAAUACCGGAUAACAUGUUGAACCGCAUGGUUCAACAGUGAAAGACGGUCUUGCUGUCACUUAUAGAUGGAUCCGCGCCGCAUUAGCUAGUUGGUAAGGUAACGGCUUACCAAGGCAACGAUGCGUAGCCGACCUGAGAGGGUGAUCGGCCACACUGGAACUGAGACACGGUCCAGACUCCUACGGGAGGCAGCAGUGGGGAAUAUUCCGCAAUGGGCGAAAGCCUGACGGAGCAACGCCGCGUGGGUGAAGAAGGUCUUCGGAUCGUAAAGCUCUGUUAUUGGGGAAGAACAAAUGUGUAAGUAACUAUGGCCGUCUUGACGGUACCUAAUCAGAAAGCCACGGCUAACUACGUG